GACGAACGCUGGCGGCGUGCUUAACACAUGCAAGUCGAACGGAAAGGCCCUGCUUUUGUGGGGUGCUCGAGUGGCGAACGGGUGAGUAACACGUGAGUAACCUGCCCUUGACUUUGGGAUAACUUCAGGAAACUGGGGCUAAUACCGGAUAGGAGCUCCUGCUGCAUGGUGGGGGUUGGAAAGUUUCGGCGGUUGGGGAUGGACUCGCGGCUUAUCAGCUUGUUGGUGGGGUAGUGGCUUACCAAGGCUUUGACGGGUAGCCGGCCUGAGAGGGUGACCGGCCACAUUGGAACGGAGAUACGGCCCGGACUCCUACGGGAGGCAGCAGUGGGGAAUAUUGCACAAUGGGUGGAAGCCUGAUGCAGCAACGCCGCGUGCGGGAUGACGGCCUUCGGGUUGUAAACCGCUUUCGCCUGUGACGAAGCGUGAGUGACGGUAAUGGGUAAAGAAGCACCGGCUAACUACGUG
rnacentral:rRNA from 1 species